rnacentral:rRNA from 1 species
AUGGCCGAGCACUUCCCAGGCGACGGCGCGGCGGCGAACGGCUUCGGCCGCCGCCAUCUGCACGAGAACGAGACUCGCCUCCUUUUCGAGGCCGAGUACCCGGUCCCGCCGGACAUGCGGGUGCCCUGGGCGUGGAGGAUCAGCGCCGGCGGCGUGCUGGUGCCCCCGAUACCCACCGGCGCGGCGCGGCGUGCGGAGAUCGCAUGCAUUCGCUCGUCCCUGCCGCGUGCGGCGAGGAAGGGGCCACGGUACGUCCCCGACAGCCUGCUCUGGGAGCCUUAUUUCCGCCGCCGUCACGCCGAGCAGCUCGAGGCCACCAACGGCGUCGAGCCCUCCGGCAGGCUCAACGCCGUCGGCCGGCGUCGGUGGUGGGGCGUGCCCGGGCGCACGUUGGAGGCCGUCCUCGAGUACAUCGAGGGCGGCAACACGCCGCGCCUCGAGUACCCCGCUCCCCCGUCCUUCCCACGCCACCGGGGAAGCUCCUGGACCCCGAGGCGCAUGGAGACCGGGGGGUCCUCCUCCUCGUCCGGCGGCUCCCCCUGCCUCCACCUCCGCCUCGUCAAGCCGGAGCCCCAGGGCACGCCUGUCAGCGCGCACACGCGCAGCUUCGGCGUCCGCAUCGGCGACAACGCCUCCCUCACCGGCCGCUUCGUCCUCGUCGAGCCCAAGAUGGAGCCCGGCCUCCCCGCGGAGUACGAGGAGGUAGCCCGGCGUGGCUUCUCCGACGAGGACGCCCUGCGGUGGGCGCGGGACGACUACCUCCGCGACGAGAUGGUCCGGCAGCGCCGGGCCCUGGAGGAGAUCGCCGCCCGCAAGCGUGGGCGCGAGGACGAGCAUGGCGUCGUGGUCCUCGACAGCGACGACAACGACGACGCCCCCGGACCGUCCAACCCGCCGUGCCAACCCGGGAAGGGAUGCAGCAGGGACGGCGGAGGCGUCGGCGAGGGCGACGACGACGACGACGACGACGACACGCGGUUCUACAGCCUCCUCGGCAUGUAG